ACCACAUCCAAGGAAGGCAGCAGGCGCGCAAAUUACCCAAUCCCGACACGGGGAGGUAGUGACAGUAAAUAACAAUACAGGGCCUUUACGGGUCUUGUAAUUGGAAUGAGUACAAUUUAAAUCCCUUAACGAGGAACAAUUGGAGGGCAAGUCUGGUGCCAGCAGCCGCGGUAAUUCCAGCUCCAAUAGCGUAUAUUAAAGUUGUUGCAGUUAAAAAGCUCGUAGUUGAAUUUUGGCCUUGGCUUGUGAGGUUCGGCCUUCAUUGGUCGGUACCCCAACGAGUCGGGCUCCACCUUCUGGGUUAGCCAGUUGUCAUUUCGGUGGCGGCUGGUGAACCAGAACUUUUACUUUGAAAAAAUUGGAGUGUUUAAAGCAGGCUUUUAAGCUUGAACAUAUUAGCAUGGAAUAAUGAAAUAGGACUUUGGCCUUAUUUCGUUGGUUUCUAAAGCCAAAGUAAUGAUGAAUAGGGAUAGUUGGGGACAUUAGUAUUCAAUUGUCAGAGGUGAAAUUCUUGGAUUUAUUGAAGACUAACUUCUGCGAAAGCAUUUGUCAAGGAUGUUUUCAUUAAUCAAGAACGAAAGUUAGGGGAUCGAAGACGAUCAGAUACCGUCGUAGUCUUAACCAUAAACUAUGCCGACUAAGGAUCGGAUGGUGUUAUAUUUUAUAUUGACCCAUUCGGCAUUUCAGCGAAAGCCAAGUUUUUGGGUUCCGGGGGGAGUAUGGUCGCAAGGCUGAAA
rnacentral:rRNA from 1 species